AUACGGGGGGUGCAAGCGUUAAUCGGAAUUACUGGGCGUAAAGCGCGCGUAGGCGGUUUGCUCAGUCGGAUGUGAAAGCCCAGGGCUCGACCUUGGAACUGCAUACGAUACUGGCAAACUAGAGUGUGAGAGAGGAUAGUGGAAUUUCCGGUGUAGCGGUGAAAUGCGUAGAUAUCGGAAGGAACAUCAGUGGCGAAGGCGACUGUCUGGCACAACACUGACGCUGAGGUGCGAAAGCGUGGGUAGCAAACAGGAUUAGAAACCCCUAGUAGUCC
rnacentral:rRNA from 1 species